CCAAUAGCGUAUAUUAAAGUUGUUGCAGUUAAAAAGCUCGUAGUUGAAUUUCGGGGCCAGUAGGUCGGUCGUGCCACUGGUAUGCACUGGCCUUACUGGUCCCUCCUUCUUGUAGAACCGUGAUGGCAUUAAUUUGUUGUUGCGGGGAAACAGGACUGUUACUUUGAAAAAAUUAGAGUGCUUAAAGCAGGCUCGCGCUUGAAUACAUUAGCAUGGAAUAACGAAAUAGGACGAUCGAACCUAUUUUGUUGGUUUCUAGGAUCGACGUAAUGAUUAAUAGGGAUAGUUGGGGGCAUUAGUAUUCAAUUGUCAGAGGUGAAAUUCUUGGAUUUAUUGAAGACUAACUACUGCGAAAGCAUUUGCCAAGGAUGUUUUCAUUAAUCAAGAACGAAAGUUAGGGGAUCGAAGACGAUCAGAUACCGUCGUAGUCUUAACCAUAAACUAUGCCGACUAGGGAUCGGAUGAAGUUAAUUUUUUAAUGACUCAUUCGGCGCCUUACG
rnacentral:rRNA from 1 species